rnacentral:rRNA from 1 species
AUUGAACGCUGGCGGCAUGCCUUACACAUGCAAGUCGAACGGCAGCACGGGAGCAAUCCUGGUGGCGAGUGGCGAACGGGUGAGUAAUAUAUCGGAACGUGCCCAGUCGUGGGGGAUAACGUAGCGAAAGCUACGCUAAUACCGCAUACGAUCUACGGAUGAAAGCGGGGGAUCGCAAGACCUCGCGCGAUUGGAGCGGCCGAUAUCAGAUUAGGUAGUUGGUGAGGUAAAGGCUCACCAAGCCGACGAUCUGUAGCUGGUCUGAGAGGACGACCAGCCACACUGGGACUGAGACACGGCCCAGACUCCUACGGAGGCAGCAGUGGGGAAUUUUGGACAAUGGGCGCAAGCCUGAUCCAGCAAUGCCGCGUGCAGGAUGAAGGCCUUCGGUGUAACUGCUUUGUACGGAACGAAACGGUAGAGCUCUAAUACAGUUGUCUAAUGAC